rnacentral:rRNA from 1 species
UCUUCCGCAAUGGACGAAAGUCUGACGGAGCAACGCCGCGUGAGUGAUGACGGCCUUCGGGUUGUAAAGCUCUGUUAAUCGGGACGAAAGGCCUUCUUGCGAACAGUUAGAAGGAUUGACGGUACCGGAAUAGAAAGCCACGGCUAACUACGUGCCAGCAGCCGCGGUAAUACGUAGGUGGCAAGCGUUGUCCGGAAUUAUUGGGCGUAAAGCGCGCGCAGGCGGAUCAGUCAGUCUGUCUUAAAAGUUCGGGGCUUAACCCCGUGAUGGGAUGGAAACUGCUGAUCUAGAGUAUCGGAGAGGAAAGUGGAAUUCCUAGUGUAGCGGUGAAAUGCGUAGAUAUUAGGAAGAACACCAGUGGCGAAGGCGACUUUCUGGACGAAAACUGACGCUGAGGCGCGAAAGCCAGGGGAGCGAACGGGAUUAGAUACCCCGGUAGUCCUGGCCGUAAACGAUGGGUACUAGGUGUAGGAGGUAUCGACCCCUUCUGUGCCGGAGUUAACGCAAUAAGUACCCCGCCUGGGGAGUACGACCGCAAGGUUGAAACUCAAAGGAAUUGACGGGGGCCCGCACAAG